CCUACGGGAGGCAGCAGUAGGGAAUCUUGCGCAAUGGGCGAAAGCCUGACGCAGCCAUGCCGCGUGAAUGAUGAAGGUCUUAGGAUUGUAAAAUUCUUUCACCGGGGACGAUAAUGACGGUACCCGGAGAAGAAGCCCCGGCUAACUUCGUGCCAGCAGCCGCGGUAAUACGAAGGGGGCUAGCGUUGCUCGGAAUUACUGGGCGUAAAGGGAGCGUAGGCGGAUAGUUUAGUCAGAGGUGAAAGCCCAGGGCUCAACCUUGGAACUGCCUUUGAUACUGGCUAUCUUGAGUACGGGAGAGGUGAGUGGAACUCCGAGUGUAGAGGUGAAAUUCGUAGAUAUUCGGAAGAACACCAGUGGCGAAGGCGACUCACUGGCCCGUUACUGACGCUGAGGCUCGAAAGCGUGGGGAGCAAACAGGAUUAGAUACCCUGGUAGUCCACGCUGUAAACGAUGAGUGCUAGUUGUCGGCAUGCAUGCAUGUCGGUGACGCAGCUAACGCAUUAAGCACUCCGCCUGGGGAGUACGGUCGCAAGAUUAAAAACUCAAAAUGAAGUAGACGG
rnacentral:rRNA from 1 species